rnacentral:rRNA from 1 species
AGAAGAUGCUUCGGGCGUGCCCCCCAUCUAAGUUCCCUGGAACGGGACGUCGGAGAGGGUGAGAAUCCCGUAUGUGACGGGGUGGCGCCGCCCGUGUGAAGCUCUUUCGACGAGUCGAGUUGUUUGGGAAUGCAGCUCAAAACGGGUGGUAAAUUUCAUCUAAAGCUAAAUACGGGCCAGAGACCGAUAGCGCACAAGUAGAGUGAUCGAAAGAUGAAAAGCACUUUGGAAAGAGAGUUAAACAGUACGUGAAAUUGUUGAAAGGGAAGCGCUGGCGACCAGACGUGCGCGCCGGUGAUCAUCUGGGGCUCGCCCCCGGUGCACUCGGCGGCGCGCAGGCCCGCAUCGGUUUGGGGGGCGGGACAAAGGCCCCUGGAAUGUGGCUCCCCCGGGAGUGUUAUAGCCAGGGGUAUCAUGCCGCCCCCCCGGACCGAGGACCGCGCUCCGGCUAGGAUGCGGGCGUAAUGGUCGUUAGCGACCCGUCUUGAAACACGGACCAAGGAGUCUAACAUCUAUGCGAGUGUUUGGGUGGCAAACCCACACGCGGAAUGAAAGUGAACGGAGGUGAGAGCCCGUACGGGCGCAUCAUCGACCGGUCCUGAUGUCUUCGGAUGGAUCUGAGUAAGAGCAUAGCUGUUGGGACCCGAAAGAUGGUGAACUAUGCCUGAAUAGGGUGAAGCCAGAGGAAACUCUGGUGGAGGCUCGCAGCGGUUCUGACGUGCAAAUCGAUCGUCAAAUUUGGGUAUAGGGGCGAAAGACUAAUCGAACCAUCUAGUAGCUGGUUCCUGCCGAAGUUUCCCUCAGGA